rnacentral:rRNA from 1 species
GAAAGCGUGGGUAGCAAACAGGAUUAGAUAGCCUGCGUAGUCCACGCGGUAAACGACGUCGACUCAGCCGUUGGGUGCCUAGCGCACUGUGUUGCUGACAGUUAACGCGAUAAGUCGACCGCGUGGGGAGUACGGCCGCAAGGUUAAAACUCAAAUGAAUUGACGGGGGCCCGCACAAGCGGUGGAGCAUGUGGUUUAAUUCGAUGCAACGCGAAGAACCUUACUACUCUUGACAUCAUGCGAAUUUGGUAGAGAUACCUUAGUGCCUUCGGGAACGCAGAGACAGGUGCUGCAUGGCUGUCGUCAGCUCGUGUUGUGAAAUGUUGGGUUAAGUCCCGUAACGAGCGCAACCCUUGUCCUUAUUUGCCAGCGCGUAAUGGCGGGAACUCUAAGGAGACUGCCGGUGACAAACCGGAGGAAGGUGGGGACGACGUCAAGUCAUCAUGGCCCUUACGAGUAGGGCUACACACGUGCUACAAUGGUCGGUACAAAGGGUUGCCAACUCGCGAGAGUGAGCCAAUCCCGAAAAGCCGAUCUCAGUCCGGAUCGGAGUCUGCAACUCGACUCCGUGAAGUCGGAAUCGCUAGUAAUCGUGGAUCAGAAUGCCACGGUGAAUACGUUCCCGGGCCUUGUACACACCGCCCGUCACACCAUGGGAGUGGACUGCACCAGAAGUGGUUAGCCUAACGCAAGAGGGCG